CUACGGGGGGCAGCAGUGGGGAAUAUUGGACAAUGGGCGCAAGCCUGAUCCAGCCAUACCGCGUGGGUGAAGAAGGCCUUCGGGUUGUAAAGCCCUUUUGUUGGGAAAGAAAUCCAGCUGGUUAAUACCCGGUUGGGAUGACGGUACCCAAAGAAUAAGCACCGGCUAACUUCGUGCCAGCAGCCGCGGUAAUACGAAGGGUGCAAGCGUUACUCGGAAUUACUGGGCGUAAAGCGUGCGUAGGUGGUCGGUUAAGUCCGUUGUGAAAGCCCUGGGCUCAACCUGGGAACUGCAGUGGAUACUGGACGACUAGAGUGUGGUAGAGGGUAGCGGAAUUCCUGGUGUAGCAGUGAAAUGCGUAGAGAUCAGGAGGAACAUCCAUGGCGAAGGCAGCUACCUGGACCAACACUGACACUGAGGCACGAAAGCGUGGGGAGCAAACAGGAUUAGAUACCCCGGUAGUC
rnacentral:rRNA from 1 species